rnacentral:lncRNA from 1 species
AGUCUAUGUACACACAGAAAAGUGUGAAGUUUUAGUCCCUCCUUGUCUCACAAUGAUAAAUACGUGAUGUUUUACAAAAGAUGAAUAAUAAAAAGAAGAAAUUCGCCAGCAAAACUGAAAGCGCAACAAAGAAAGUGAUAAACUAGAAGUAGAGGUAGAAUUGAACAUAAAUGGAGUUAUAAAAGAAAUAAAUGACCAUAAAAAUGUUGACACUGCUGUCAUUGGAGAAAUUCUAGAUAAGUAGCCAGAAGGAACUUAGUAAAAGUCUACUUAAUGGUGUAAAUAAGGAAAGUGGUUCUGACGAAAAGAAUGAAGAUGUCCUUGAGGAAGCGCUGCCAGGAAUAAACUCAGCAUUAAAAGAAUUCUCAGAGACAUUUUACAGCAUUGAAAGUGCAAAGGGUAAAAUAAUGUAAACGGAUCCAAACUUAAGAAGGAAUAUGACAAGUUGCCAAGAUAUAGAAGUGAAGCUUGCUUCCUAUCAUAAGAUAUACCAUGAGAAGAAGAGCCAGACCUUGAUUUCAUGCGAGAAGGUGGAGUAGGAGGAAGAGAAGGAGGAGAGUUAGAAGGAGUAGGAGGAGGAGGAAAACCUCCUGCAGGCUCGUCUGAGUAUAUUCCUAGGUGAUGGCAGAGGGGCAAGAAAGCAAGCAAAAAGAAGCACAGAAGCCCUCUCAUGGCCAAAACUGGCUUGGUGUCACUUUUACCUCAUUCUAUUGGUCAAAAAAAGUCAACAGGCUGAGCCCAGAGUCAGAGUGGGAGAGUACUGCAUGGUUACAUGACAGAGGAUGUGGAUAUGAGGAAUCGUGAAGAACUGCAUCCAUUAGAGCCAUCUGUCACAGAAGGGACUAUUGUCAUUUUACUAAUUUUGUACAUGAGGAUAGGGAAGCAUGGAGAUGGUAACAUGCCUAAAGUCACAUAGCUUCUUAGCUGUGGAACCAGAAAGUAAACCUGGGCCUUCUGGGCCCAGGGCCCGUGGCUGUUAAAACCACUGUGCACACUGCCUUACUCCUACCCUUCACAAUCAGGUUUCUGCUCUGACCACCCUAGAAAACAUGCCCGUCUCAGGUUACCGAUGCUCUCCUAUGGACAGAUCCAAUAGCCUUUGUUAAUUGUCCACAUCUCUAUCCAUUCUGUAAUACUCCUGCAUGCUGCAUCCUUGGAGUUCUUUUCUCCUUUGAUUCUGCAGAACCUGUACUGUUUUGUUUCUCUUUCUGGCUUCCUCUGUCUGUCUCUCUUCACCAACUACAUAAUGCAUUCACUUCUUUUUCUUGGCAUCUCCCUUUCCAAGCACACCCACUCUCCUGGUUUCCAUUAUCUCCCUGCAGACAACUCUCAACUGGCUCUAAGAAAGCUCACUAUAAUUUUCAGCAACCUAAUUCAGUCGUUUGUCCGUCACAAAUAACAGCUCAGGAAAAUCAAAGGAUUUUCUCACUAGCAUCUUAUCAUUCCAUGUCACCUAGCAACUAUCCCAGUGCUUGAUAUUCUGCUACUAGAAACUCCCUACUACACAGAUAAUACCACUGGAAGGUAUAAAGCCACUUGACUGACCUCUCUCCAUUCACAGCAUUUAUAACUGUAAGAAAUUGCCAGUGGUUGACUCUUUCCGACCUUCGAAAGUGGCAAUUUCAUGUGGUUCAGCUUAAUAGUAUUUAUUACCUUGUGCUGUAAUAAUUUUGUAUCUGUAUCUCCCAUGAGACUCAAAGCUGCUUGAUUGAGGAGAUCAUGCUUGCUUCUGCUUUUCAUCAAGUUGCCUAGUACAUGACACUCUGUAAGGAUUAGACCAAGUAGGUAUUGAAUAAUUGUUUGGCGAAUUUAAAAAAUUAAAGAAACAUUUGAAAUCAAUGCACCAGAGGCUAGAGACAGAGUGCUAGGAAGGGAACAGGAUGGGGACAGGGACACCAGAGCAAAGAUAGAGUCAAAGACACAUUUCCAAAAUGGCAAUUCAUGCCUUGUGUCAGUUGUACCCACCUCACAUUCUUUAACACUUAAGGUUUUUCUGGGUAGUAAGUGCAAUACAUUCUUAUUAUAAAACAAUAUAGACAGUUCAGUAUGUAUAAAUGAGGAUAAAAUCAAAAUCACCCACAAUCUCACCACUUUGUGAUAAUAACCAUUAACUUCAAUAUUGAUGAAUUUCCUUGAAUGUUUUAUCUACAAUAUUUCUUUCAUAUAGUUGAUAUCACUCUGUAUGCACAAACUUGUAUCCUUUUUCUAAAUCUUAAUAUCAUAAUAUUAGCAUUUUCUAAUGUUAGUAGAUGUACUUCUUAAAUAUUGCUUUUUAAUGAUAAAGGUUUUUUUUUUUUUUUUUACAAAUAAAGAUUUGUCUAUAUUUUGGGUUAUUUCCUUAACACAUAUUCACAAAGGUAAGAAUUAAAAAGUAAUUUUAACUAAGUCAAGGAGCAUGAAAAGUUUUUAGAUUCUUGGUACACAUUUUUAUCCAGUGUUUUAAAAAACUACUACCAUAGUACACAUCUCCAAUUUCAAUAUCUCUAUGUGAGUGCUUGCCUUAUCAUGAAAAAGUCAAUAUUGAAUAUUAUUAUUAUUUUAUUAUACUUUUAUAACUUCAUUGGCAAAAUGUUAACCUGCCAUUUUAAAGUUUGCCUUUGUUAGAUUAUUAGAGAGAUUGAAUUUGUUUUCAGACAAAUAUUUUAUUAAGUAUGUUAUUUUCUCAUGAAAAUGGUUUGUUCAUAACCUUUGCCUUUUGAUCUAUUGGAAUGUGUUUUCUAAUCAGCAAGAAUAUUAGUUUUAUUUUGCUUAUUAUAUAUUUGAAUUUACUUUUACUUUUAUAAAAAUAAUACCUGCAUAUAGUUAAAAGCCACAGGGUGCUAAAAGAUUUGUGGCAAAAUAACAGCAGUCCCUUUCUCUGAAGCCCUCCUCAGGACCUAUUCUCAUGUGUCAGAAGCAACUACUUUCAAUUUUUUAGCUGUUUCUUCUAAACAUUUUUUGACCAUUUUUUGAGGUUGGGUUUUAGGUGAGAUCUGCCAUGGUAUCCUAUUAUGAAGACAAAGAUUUUGCCUCUUUUAGACAGCCUCCUCAUUUUCUUCUUAAUCCUCCUAAAGUGGUUAAAGUGCAAUUUUUGGUUAAAUUACAAGUCAGUGUUUCUAAAUGCAACGUGGACUCAUGCAUUGGAUCCCGGAAUAGAAAAACUGGUAAAAUUAAAAUGGUAUCUAGUGUCACAUAGUACUGUAUUGACAAAUGUCACAUGGUUAUGGAAGAUAUUAAAAUGCAGGGAAUCUGGGUGAAGGGUAUACAGGUAUACAGAGACUAUAUACAGGUAUAUAGUCUCUGUACUAUAUUGACAACUGUUCUAUAAAUCUAAAGUUAUUCCUAAGGUAAAAGUUUAUUCAAGGAAAGUCAGUAUUUACACUACGAUACACAUAUAUUUGCUGCUGAGCCAAAAAGUAUGCCAUAGUUAUGGCUGCUUUGUAGUACAACAUUUACUUUUUUUUCUAGAGUUAAUACUUGCCUCAUUUUAAAUUUAUUUAUGAAACUAUGUUCCAAAUCCUCAAGUAAAUCUGUUUAACAGAUAUGACAAAUAUCUGUCAAUAUUAUUAUCCAAGUGCUUAAAUACAUCUGAUAAUCUACAGUUAAAUAUGUUUUAAUCUACAGUUAAAUAUGUUUUCCCCUGGUACCUCCUUCUUUGAGCCCUUGAUUCUACUGCUCUAAUUUGGUUGAUUGAUUUGGAACCUUCCUUUUCCUCUUCCCUGUGUUGGAUUUGCUGUUUGCUGGAUUCCUGUCUUACUUACUCUUCACUUAUCCUUUAUUUUGCUAAAAUAAAUAUAUCUUCCAUACCAUUCUAAGAAAGAGUAUAUGAUGGAUGAACAGUUGAGUCAGGGCUAAUACUAUUCUUACUCUACUCUUAUACCUGUUUGUAAUUUGAAUAGUAUAGAAUAAUAGCUGGGAAUACAUUUUCCUCCGGAUUUGGAAGGCAUUGUUCCAUAGUCUUGUAGCUUCCAGUGUGACUCUUGAAUAGUCCGAUAUGAUUCUGAUUGCAGAUUCUAAUUAUGCACCUAUUUUUCCUCCGAGGUUACUUAUUUAUUUUUUUUGAGGCGGAGUUUCGCUUUUGUUGCCCAGGCUGGAGUGCAAUGGUACAACGUUGGCUCACUCCAACCUCUGCCUCUCAGGUUCAAGCGAUUCUCCUGCCUCAGCCUCCAAAGUAGCUGGGAUUACAGGCAUGCGCCACCACCCCCAGCUAAUUUUGUAUUUUUAGUAGAGAUGGGAUUUCUCCAUGUUGGUCAGGCUGGUCUCGAACUCCCAACCUUAGGUGAUCCACCUGCCUCGGCCUCCCAAAGUGCUGGGAUUACAGGCGUGACCCACGACGCCCAGCCUCGUCUGAAUUUUUUAGCAUCUUCUCCUUAUCUAUCUCUGAAGUAACAUUUUACUAUCAUGUAUCUUGAUUAGUUUUUUCAUUCAUUCAUUCAUUCAUUCAUUCAUUCAUUCAUUCAUUCAUUCUUCUGGGCAUUUUGACAAGAUCUUUCAACCUAGAAAUACGGUUUUUCUUCUUUAUUUUCUUCUUUAUUCUCUCUGAUCUCUGGAGUUCCUACUAAUUGAGUCUUCUGGGUUGAUCCUCUAACUUUUCUCUCCUAAUCUUUUUGUUUUUGGUUUUGCUCACUUUCUGAAAUAUUUUCUCAAUUGUAUCUUCAAACUCUUCUAUUGCUUUUGAAAAAUAUGGCUAUCCUUUUUGAUGUCAGUCUUUUUGGUAGAUUUUUUAUUUUAUUUUGAAGGCUAUAGAGCAAUAACUGGUGAUCCUAAGCUGUCCAUUCAUACUUAAGAAUAAAGUAUUAAAAAACUAAUUAGGAAACUAUUCCAAGUAAUUUUAAAAUGCAAUACUAUGACUAUAAAACUGUAGUGGGUUAUACUCCAAAGACAAAAACUAUUCCAAAAUAUAUUUAAAUAGUUUUCAGUAAUCAUAUUGUUUGUACAAAUUGAUACUGUUAUUCUAAGUUGUAGAGUAUGUAUUCCUACAUAAAACAAAUGAGUAAUUAUAUGAAAUUCAAAUUCUAUCAUCCUCAGUGUUGUUGAAAUCAGAAUUUUCAUCAUGGGAGAAAGGGCACGAUAGAAGAGAUUAAAUAAAAGCUCUAGUCUGAAUUUAAAUUGAAGCAUCAUUUUAAAUUUGUCAUGUAUUUUAUCUUUUUUAAAAAAAUAAAUCUUAGCCUUGUCUACUGAAAAAGUCUAGAAAUAAUGACCGACCUAGUAGCAAUAAGUUUCCCUAGCAGCCAAAUGGUAGUCUUAUAAUACCAUUUCCCAUUGAAAGCAGCCAGAGUUAUUUAGAGAAAUGGCUGAUUCCCGGCCCAGAACAAAUUGUCCUACAGACAGCAAGAAAAACUAUGAAUGACUAAUGGCAUCAUGUCAAAAGGACUCAGGAGCCCACUUUAAAAGGCCCUUAUAGCCAAAGAUGGGACAAUUGAGCGUAAAAAGGAAAAUAAAUGCAAUGAAUUGAGACACAUUAGAUAUUUUUAAAAUCAUGAGAUCAUAAGCAUAUCAAAGAAAUCUAAUUGGUCAACAUUAGAGAACACUGGGGAACCAACUCAUUAUUUUUAAAAGCGGUAAAUAAAAAGAUGGGAUCAAAUAAUUUAUGGGAAUGUUUCUCUGUAAAAUUAUUUUACCUAAUAAAUAAAGACAAAAUAAUAGAGUUACAGUAUAGCAGUUUUGCAAAAUAAAUGAAUCUAGGUAUUGAGCUUCCGUGGCUGCUAACACCAUUCAAAAAAGACUCAGUGAAACACCAUGUACCUUCUAAUGAGCCAACCCAACACCGUCUAAGAAGUAGCUUUGCCACGAAAAUAAAUCUGAAUCUGAUCAGCCUUCAUUUCCCACUCUCAACUUAAAAGAAAUACAGAAGACAGAGGUGUAUGUUAAACUUAGCAUGAGCAAUUGCUUCCAGUUUAGCACUGGAAGUCCUGUGUCUCAGAAAGCCCCCCAGUCCUAGGCAAACCUGUGGGGUUGUCACUCUAUCUGGAAAAGUCAUCAGGAAAACCCAGAAUAUGGCAAAGCCUGUCAGUGGGGUGGGCACAAAGAUCUUGACUUUAGUUGAUUUCUUCUGCUCUCAGUCCUAAGCUUCACCCUAAUAAUUGGGCCUGAGUCUUUCUAGAGUUUGGUGAGACAAGCAGCCUGCUGCUUUAGGCUAUCUUUGUCCUCAGGCACUCACACAAAGUUGUCCAUUUUCUGGCCAUUUCUCCAUCUACUUUUUUUUUUUGGUGUGUAAAAUUGUCAUAAAAUAUACAUAACAGAAAAUUUAUCAUUUUAGCCAUUUUAAAGUGUACGUUUCAGUGACAUUAAGUACAUUCACAUUGUUGUGCAACAAUGACCACCAUCCAUCUCCAGAUCUUUUCACUAUACGCAACGGAAACUCUAUACCCAUUGAACAAUAACUCCCCAUUAUCCUUUGGCCCCACCCUGGCAACCACCAUUUAACUUUUUGUCCCUUUAGAUUUCACUACUUUAGGUACUUCAUAGAAGUAGAAUUAUACAGUAUUUGUCUUUUUGUGACUGGCGUUUUUCCCUCAGCCUGAUGUCUUCAAGGUUCAACUGUAUUUUAGCAUGUAUCAGAACUUCAUUUCUUUUUGUGGCUGAAUAAUAUUGCAUAUAUAUAUGCAUAUAUAUACAUAUAUAAUGUAUAUUUUUGUACAGUGCAUGUGUAACAUUGCAUAUAUAUGCAUAUAUAUAUAUGCUGUGUUGCUCUUUGUACAGUGACUAACAACAGAUAAUCUAUCAAUAUGUUACUACAUCAUAUUAUUUGUGCCUAAACAUUCAUUACUAAGUACACACGUUAAAGGAUGUAAAAAACACAUGUACUAAGUACACAUGUUAAAGGAUGUAAAAAGGAUGUUUUCUUUUUUGGACUUUUAAUUAAGAUCUCAAACCCGGGGAAAAUAGGUAUUAAGUAUCCCCUCAUUCAAAAGCAAGUCACUUGACUGUCUCUGCAGGACUUGCAGAGAGAAUGACUCGAAACUAAUCUGCCUUGAUACCUCCUAUCACCUCCAGGCUAUGUAAGAAUGAGCUAAGGACCAAGAGGUCCAGAGGAAGUCAGAGUGUUGGGACAUCCCCCACCCACAGGGGAGAUGAAAGCUUUUCAAAGAUUACAAAGAGGUCUGUUCUGACAGCAUAGGGAGUGAGCCUGACUUCCAGUGGAUAAGAGUGUGUGUUUCCCAUGGGACAGACAGGUGAGGACUCUGGGUUAUCCUGGAGCAAGAGCCGCUGGAAGCCAGGGCUUGACAGGAGUCAUUGGUGGCCACUGAGGAGAUAUUGUCCAUAACAGGGAGCUGCAGUUGGAGGUCUGCAGUUGGGAAUAUGCAACCCUGGAGAAGCCAAAGGCAGAGUCAGUGGGGAAGACGGGUAGAAGAUCAAGGUAGGGAGAAAUAAUGAAGGAAGUACCACAGUCCCUUUCCCUAUUGCUGAUCUCAAAACAUGAUUCACAGCAGAGCUUAGAAAGGGGGGAAGUUUUAGUUUGUGUAAAAGACUGAAGUUUGGGUAUAUGGUAUUGAAGUUUUAGAAUUUUGAACUAAUGGAAAAGUUCUGGAAUUUGCCUGAGGUCCAUCCAGUGCCAUAGAAGGAAGAUUAAAGAGAGCCAUUUUACCAGAGGAUGGUGAAAAAUACAGUGGCAUUCUGUUUACACACUACUUAGUUCAGGUCAGUUUCAUAUAUUAGUACUAUUUCUUAUUCAUGGGUUUUCAUCUAUGUCCUAUUAUCUGUCUCUUCAUCUAUAUGCCAGAAGUAUACUGUGAUGUCCAUUGUAACUUUCAAUGAUGCUCUAAUAUUUGGCAGAUUAAAAAAUAGUCUCCAUUUGAUAAUGUAUGAUCUUGUAUACAGUACACCCUUAUCUCAUACAACCCUCACCCCAUACAUGCAAGGUUACUAUUUUCCCCAUUUUAGAGCUGAGGCUUAAGGAACUUAAGAUCACAAAGCCAUUAUGUGGCUGUCAGAUCCUUAACCUGCACUCUUGACAUAGGACUGUGCCCAACCUGCUAUGCCCCCUUAUUAAUCUUUUGUCAAGAACUUCACAGAUACUCUUGUCUGUUUAUUUCUCUGUAUUACCUUAGUAUUAGUUUGCCAAUGUAUUUGGCUGAGCGAGUAAUUACCUGAUCAAGUAUAUUCUCUUUCCAGGUUCUCUCUGCCAGAGGAGACUCUUCUUCUAAGGGACAUUUAUUUUUUUUACAUGGUAGUCACUCCAGAUAGGCAGAUUGUCACACUAGUAGGGAAAAAUGCCCCAUGUAUUUUCAUACCUUAGUCUCUUCAUUAGUUCCUUCCUCCCUGGGUUGUUUCCUUAUAACAUUUGCCGUCUAAAGUGUAUCAUGAUUUUUCCUCAACUCUGCAGUGCUUAUAUUAUUUUCCCCACAUUAAACAUUUGGAAUUAACCAUUCCCUUACCUUCCCACUUCCACUUUUUCAAAUUACCCCUUUCUUUAAAGCCUAAUUCAUGUUUCAAAUGCUCCACCAUUAUCCCAGUCAACAGCAGGCAUCUUUUCAGUCUGAAUUUAUUGUGUGCCGCUUGAUAAUGUUAGGAGCCUUCCUGUGAUUUUAUGUUUGCUAUGAAAAGCAUGGCUCUAUCUCAAGGGCUCUUAGUAUGAACUGAUGAGGGUGGGCAAGCCUGUUAUAUGGGGUGAUGAUGGAAUGGGGUGGGGUGGACAGAUCAACUUUUGUGAUAGGUGUGGCCUGACAGCUAACUCUCCAAAUUGUCAACAGUGAAGUGUGCUGCCAACCUAAGCCUGAUUCUAGCCAGCAUCUAUCCCCAGGGCUGAAUGGUCAUGCCGUUCACAUUCAUCUAUGCUCAAUGCAGCCAGGGCAACUUGGACAUGUUUCAAUGUACUGAAGAAUUAAAUCUCCCCAUCUCUCCCUUGAUUCCAGGAUGGAGGCACUCGGGCUGUCAGGCAUUUAAAAAAUAAACCUCAAGUGUCUUUUCUAUGUCAAGCAUUGACCUAGAAGUGAGAUAGGGAAGACAAGCACUGUGCCUUCAUGGGGCUUAUAACACCAGUGGAAGGAGAAAGAAAAGUACAAAGUCAGAAGUUCAUGACUGCAGUCAUGGACUCACAGCCCAAGGAAGUCUUUCUGAGUCAAAGGAGACAUGUAGAAGAGCAUUUAGAGCAAGGGUUCUCAACUGGGGGUAAUUUUGACCUCCAAAGGACAUUUGGCAAUGUCUAAAGACACUUUUAAUUGUCAUAACUGUGGGAGUGGAGGCUGCUAGUGGUGUCUUGUGAGUAGAGAGGCUAGGGAUGCUGUUAAACCUCCCAAAUGCACAGGACAGCCUCACAACAAAGAAUUAUCUGGCCCCGAACAUCAGGUGUGCCAAGUUUGAGAAACCCUUCUUUAGUGGGAGGGCAAAGAAGCUGAGGGAAUCAGGACUUUCACUGACUGGGCUGGGGUUCAGGGCUGAGAGCCAGUAAUAAUAGGAAUAAGGACAAACAAAACAAAACAAACAAAACAAAAGCCUGAAAACUACGGCAGAGGGUGAGUUGGAUGUAUAGAUUAGCAGCAGCAGUAGUGUCAUGCAGCUGUCAUAAGUGACAGCUUGGGGAGCUUGGCUACAGAAGAUGAUUCCCAGAGCCAUUUAAGGCAAAGGAACGCCUACAUGCCUGUGAUGGACUCAGAGUGAACCUGCAGGUGCUGGCUACUACUGGCUGAGUGAAGGAAGUCAAUAGGGUUGAAAGUGGCCUUUAAGUGGGCCUGGUGGCUCACGCCUGUAAUCUCAGCACUUUGGGAGGCCAAGGCGGGUGGAUCACGAGGUCAGGCGUUUGAGACCAGUCUGGCCAACAUAGUGAAACCCUGUCUCUACUAAAAAUACAAAAAAUUAGCUGGGAGUGGUGGUGCGCACCUAUAAUCCCAGCUACUCAGGAGGCUGAGGCAGGAGAAUCGCUUGAACCUGGGAGGCAGAGGGUGCAGUGAGCCGAGAUCACGCCACUGCACUCCAGCCCAGGCGACGGUGCAAGACUGUCAAAAAAAAAAAAAAAAAAAGAAAGAAAAGAAAGAAAGACAGAAAGUGGACUUUCAGUAUUUCCUAAAUAAUUUCAGGGUAGGGACUAAUUCUUAGCAUGUUUAUGUUCUCCAUAAUGCUUAACCAAGUGUCCUAUAUUUGUUCAAUUACUGCUUAUUAAUUGACUGAUUGAUGGUGUCCUUAAUUGGUCAUGCCAUUUCCAUCCACCUAUGCUCAGCACAGCCAGGACAAUUUGGACAUCUUCCAAUGUAUUGAAGAAUUAAAUCUCCCAGUGAGGAUCUUGGCAAUCAUAUCACCAAUAGGCUUGGAUUCAAAUCUGCAUUUAAAUAGCAAUGAAACAAACACACUCCAUCCCUGUGGAUAGCAAGCAGCAUAAUCUGCUUACUUAUGGCUGGGCACCUGUGAGAAAUGAAAGUGAUAGGCAGUAACUUCAGUGAUGAAUUACAGAACAGUUUCAUUUAGCUCAUUGCACCAAGACAAAGCAUCCCAGCAGCCUCUGGAGAAAUUAAUGUACCUUAACUUGAAUUAGUGGAUAAUUUCAGAUCAGCUAUUUUACAUAUCUAGCUGCUUCUCCUUCCCUCCAUAGGCCACCUCUUGCCCUUUCUCUUCCUAAAUCUGGCUCUCAAAGCUAAGUAUUCUAGAAGUUAAACAUUGAAGUAGAAAUCAGUGGACAUGAUUCAUGUCCUUACCCUCUCAGCAGAUGCCUAGCCUUGUUCCUUUUUUACAGAGCCUUGUUUUCACAAUUGUCAUGUUAGCUCAUGGAGGAAGUUGUUACUUCCUCCCAUGAUAGUUACAUGACCAUGGAGAACCCUAGAAGUCAGACAGACUUUACAAUCCAAAGAAAAUUACUCCUCGGUGGUAGGAUUUUAGGUACCACAAAGGCAACUGUGGACAGAGAAAGCCUCUGACUGCCCCUAAAAAUCACAUCAUAUCUACAAAUAAAUAAUGAUGCCAUUGCUUGAUCAUUAAAUUCCUGUGGGAUGUUGGCCGUGAAACUUCAUCUUUUUGUAUCUCUAUUUCUCCCUUCCUGAUGAUACUUCCUUUCCAUUUGCCAAUCCACAACUGGCAAGGAGAUCAUCAAACGCAGUGGGCAAAGGCAGAAUUUCUCUCUUUCUCAUAGUAUUUGCUGUAGUUCCACACAUGGUGACUGAACACCUGGAGCAGAGGCCCCGUUGCACACUGAAUUGGCCUCAUUAUAUCAUGAGCAAGAUCUUCUAUCACUGUUACUCCUUAUUGUUGUGAAGACUUCUUUUAUGUCUGGAAAGACAUUUAGGCAACUUAGCAUUGUGAUAGAAAACAGCUAAACUACUACAGUUUUCUAAGUUCAAAUCAAGAUUUCACUCACCCCCUAGCAUCUUACUAAAACCUGGGUUUCCUAUAGGGGAGGAUAAAUUGCCCACAAAGUUAUGACUACCAGAAUUGGGACUCUGUUCUGUGAAGUAGAAAUAAAUGCAGAGACCAUUUUUUCAUCCUAGAGUAAGUAGAAAAAAAGCAACAGUUAUUUUCACUUUCUUUUGGCACACUUGGUUUGGCCUAAAACCAUCAACUGUAGAGGUAUAUUGGUCUUGAAAAGAAAAAACAACCAAGGUGUACAGAAAAGGAAGUGCCUACUUGCAUAGUGGAGUUAGAGAAGGUUUCCCAGAGAGGCCAUUUUACUUGGCCAUUGAAUGCUGCAAAAGUAGAACUUUUAUAGACAUGCAAGUAUCAGAGGCAUGUGAACCAGAACAACUCCAUCUUGAAUAGGAACUGGGCAAAAUGAGGCUGAAACCUACUGGGCUGCAUUCCCAGACAGUUAAGGCAUUCUAAGUCACAGAAUGAGAUAGGAGGUCGGCACAAGAUACAGGUCAUAAAGAUCUUGCUGAUAAAACAGGUUGCUGUAAAGAAGCUGGCUAAAUCCUACCAAAACCAAGAUGGCCAGGAUAGUGACCUCUGGUCAUCCUCACUGCUACACUCCCACCAGUGCCAUGACAGUUUGCAAACGCCAUGGCAACGUCAGGAAGUUACCCUAUAUGGUCUGAAAAAGGGGAGCACGAAUAAUCCACCCCAUGUUUAGCAUAUCAUCAAGAAAUAACCGUAAAAAUGGGCAACCAGCAGCCCUCGGCUAUGCUGUCUAUGGAGUACUCAUUCUUUUAUUCCUUUACUUUCUUAAUGAACUUGCUUUCACUUUUCACUGCGGACUCGCCCUGAAUUCUUUCUUGUGUGAGAUCCAACAACCCUCUCUAGGGGUCUGGAUGGGGACCCCUUUCCUGUAACAUAUUUCUCUGUCCUGUAACACUAAGAAUAACAAGACAUUACAGCUGUUUCUGUAAUAAACAGCCAAUAAACAUUAACAGCUUAAAAUGGUAAAGGUUUAUUUCUUUCACUGUGUGCCCUUUCUGGGUUUGCAGGCACAUUGUGUAUUACUGUCAUUCAGGAAGCAAGCUUCAAAGUUGCUUGUUACCAUGCCAGAGACAAAAUUAAAUAUAUCAAAACAUACUGGCUCCAAAAGUGACACACAACACUUCUACUCAACUUCCACUGGGGAACACAAGGCACAUGGCCACGCCUAACUUCAAGUGGGCGGGAGAGUCAUUCUUCCAUGUUCCUGGAGAGUGGGAAGCAGAAUAUUUGUGAGUAGCCUUAAAACUAUCCUGAGGCAUGUGGCUAAGAAGAAAGGCAUCAAAGAGCCUGGCAUGUUUGAGACACAGUAAAAAGGUGAAAUCUUAGCUUGGAAACCACCAAUGAAAAACGUUAUAUGCCAUACAAUUUGGAAUUUGUUCUGAAGGUGUGAAAAGUUUUUUUAAAAAGGAUGUUAAGCCAAGGAAUGAUGUAUUACAUUUGUUUGAGGUACCUGAUAAUCAGAUUAAAUCAGAUUCCAGCGCAAUGAUCCCCCUUGCUGCCACAUGUGGAAAAAUUCACAGAUAACCUUGAUGGGCUCCUCCAUAUGGGCUCCUAGGAAGAAAGAGUGAGCCAGGGUUCAUGAUGGGGCAGCACCAAUUUGCUUUCCUGAUUUUGUAACAGGGAAAGCAAAGUAUUAAGCAGUAUGGAGUGAUCAUUUUGCACUGUAGCAUACUUCUUAAAGUUCAUUCAGGUACCAGAGGCAUUACCAUGCAUUAUGCUAGGAGCACUGCCCCAUGGCCAGUAAACUGAAAUGCUAUUUCCAGACUGGUAAAAAGUGAGAUUAGCAAAUGUGUUUACAACUUGCAAUCCUAGCCCUUCACCCAGGAGCUGUGUUGAAACAACCUGAAUCUAAGGGCAUAAUUAAGAGGACCCAGGGAUUUAUAGUUUGAGGCUUUUUGCCUGAGUACUUUCCCCAAUUCACCCACUACUCUGAGCACAGAAAUCCACAAAUGUGCUGUCCUGAGGUGUGAGAGGGCAAAGGUCACAGCAUUAGAGCAACCAGAAUGUUCAAAAGUGUGUUGGUUUCCUACGGCUGCUGUAACAAGUGGCUAUAAACUAGGUGGACUGCAAUAGCAAAAAUUUAUUCUCUCACAGUUCUGGCUGUCAGCAGCCUGAAAUCAGGGAGUCAGCAGAGCCGUGCUCCCUCUGGAGGCUCUAGGGAAAAUCCAUUCCUUGCCUUUUCAAAUUUCUGGUGACUCUAGGCAUUCUUUGGCUUGCAAAUUAUCACUACACUCUCUGCUUCCAAAGUCACAUUGCCUCCUACUCUUCUGUAUGUCUUCUUUUAUGUGUCUCUGUCCCAACACUUCCUGUCUCUCUCUUAUUAGAAUACAUGUGAUUGCAUUUAGGGCACACCCAGAUAAUCCAGGAUAAAUUCCUGCUCUCAAGAUUCUUAAUCACAUCUUUGCCCCAUUCAUUUCAUUUAUUCAUUUUGAAGGUAACAUUCAUAGGUUCCAGGGAUUAAGAUGCAGAAAUAUAUUUUGGCAGGGGUGGGGGGGGCUACCAUUCAACCCACUCUAUAGUGGAAAUCCUGGAAGGAAGGGUUCCUCAGAGGGAUUGAGCCCCAAAAUAUGCAUUUAAAAUAUGCCCAAAGCUUUGGCUAGCUGUCAAACUAUACUAUAAGUGUGGGACCCAAGAGAGCCUGAUCAAAAAGAAGCAGCUGAAAACUGAAAAAACUGAGUGGAGAUUCUAGCUGCUGCCAAUGGAAAGGGAGACCAUUUGGAGUUUGACUCUAGCUAAGUUAACUCUCUGCUAGAAAAAAAACAAAUCAUGCUCCAGAGAAAUAACAGAAUCUAAAGCCUCCAUGGAGGAGUUGGCUUCAGGUCAAAAUUGUAUAACCAUAAACAAUUACAAAGAUUUACCUGGCAGCCUGGCAAGGGGGAAAACUUACCCUCCCUCCCCGUGCCAGACUUGGUGCACAGUUAGUACAUUGCAAUCUCUGAAGGAAGUUGAGACUCCUUCAGAGACUGAAGACUCUGAAGUGGAGGACUCAGUCACCCUCUCCACCAACCCUAGCUAGCCAUGCUCUUGUGCAUAUCUGCAUUUCCAGCCAAGGCACCUCCAUUCAGCAGCCUCCUUAUGGGUAGGGUGGGGUGGGGUUCAGCUUAGAUACCAUGCAGGCACCACUGCUAAGACCUCCUUAUCCUUGAGGACACUUUUCACCACUCUGACUCAGUCUUUCAUGCGUAUCUUUUUCCUGUUUCUCUCAUUCCAUCCCCCGAGUCCAGAAAAUGGCAGGAACCUUUUGUUCCCCAGCUGCAGUGAUCCAUCUGACCCUCACCUGGUGGCACUCCAUGAGGAAAAAAUGGAGCAUUGAGAGAACUGGCACUACUCUUCUCUUUUUGGCCUCUUGCUUAGACUAACACAGUAAGUGAAUAAAGGCUUGAUUGUUGCUUUCAGUUUGGCUGUUGCCUGAAUUGAUCACCUUGACACCUCAUAGCUCUCAACAUCUACUCUAUAUAUUCAUAAUGUACAGUUUUCAGUUAAAAAAUAAGACAUGUAGAAACACAAAAAUGAUGGUGAUACUCAAGAAGAAGGAAGAUGAGGACGAGGAGAAAAAUAUAAACCAGACCCAAUAUUGUCUAGAUGCUGCAAUUAUCAGACAAGGACUUUAAUGCAGCUGUUAUAAAUAUAGUCAAGGACUUAAAGGAAAAUAUAUGUACAAUGAAUAAGCAAAUGGAGAAUAUCCAUAGUGAAAAAAACUAUAUUAAAGAACAAAAUUUGAAUUCUAGAGCUGAAAAAAAUAAAAUUAUAGAAAUAAAAAUUUAUUGACUUAACUGUAGAUUAAAAAUAGCAAGAGUCAGUGAAUUUGAAAAUAGAUCAAUAGAAAUGAUCUAAUCCGAAGAACAGAGAAAAAAUGAUGGAAUUAAAAUGAACAGUCUCUCAGAGAACUGUCAAACCAUUUAUCAAGUAGCUUAAUGUGUAUGCAAUUGGAGUCCUGGGAAGAGAAGAGAUAAAAAAAAUUGAGCAGAAAAAAUACUUAAAGAAACACUGAAUGAAACUUAUGAAGGACAUCAAUUUAAAGAUCCAAAAUGCGCCCACAAACCCCAAUAAAUAUAAAUGCAAAGAAAAUCACAUCAAGACAUAUCAUAGUCAAAUAGAUAAAAUGGAAAGAUAAAAAAGAAUUUUGAAAGCAACCAGAGAAACAAUGAUGUAUUACAUACAGUGGAAAAUGGAUGCAGAUCACGGCUGGCUUCUUAUCAGAAACAAUAAAGAAUGGAAAACAAUGGCUACUUUCCUGGCAAAACCUAUGCUAUGACUCAUAUCUCAGUCAUAUUAUAAGCUACAGCUAAUAGAUAGAAAUCUGCUCUAAUCACCCACACAAAGUGUCAUUAUAGAGACUAGAGCCAGGUUUCUUACUCAUUAUGGAGUAGAAGAGGCAGUGUAUAGGCUUCUUGGGAUACUAACUAAAAGACACUGGGACCAAGGCUUCAAAGAAACAAUGUCAAGUUGGGGAACAGAGGCCUCAGAAUUGGGGAAGUCAAAAGCUAAAAAUGCAGUACCAGCUGUUUACAGCAGGCCCACUGCCAUCUUAAACCUAUAGUAGGGCUUGAGCAGGCACAUUGGCUUCAGGAUCUGAUUUUUAAGAUGGAGAUGGCAAGAAUAGCGUUGUAGCCUCUAAGAUUAGGCCUACAAGUCCCCUUAACAAGAGUAGUUGCUCUAACAUAUUGAUUCUUUACAAUAGACCAACAACUUGGGGAUUCAAUUAUUCAUUAAACAAAUAUUUAUCAUGCACCUACUCUGUUAGGCUAUUUUACAUUCUGGAGAUACAUCAGUAAGAAAAUAAGGCAAAUCUUAUUGCUCUUAUGUUGCUUAUAUUCCAGCAGAAAGAAAGAAAGAAAAAUUAUGAUAAAUAAGUAAAUUAUCUUAUAUUAGCAAGUAAUAAUUAGUAUGGAAAAAACAGAGAGAUUGUGAGUGUUGAAGGAAUAUUGAAAUUUUAGAUGGGAUGGUCAGGGUAGGCUUCACUUAGAAGGUGACAUUUGAGCAAAGAGUUUAAUGAUAAGGAAGCAUUGUGAAUAUCUUGGGAAAGAGUUUUGCAGGCAGGGAUAAUAGCCAGUGCAAAGACCCUGAGGCAAGAAUGUGCUUUCGGCUGCACAAGGCCUAGUUCAUGCAUCCAAACAAGAGGUUGGAGCAGUUUAUUUCCUCUCUCUUUGAGGUCAGGAUGGAUUUUGGGAACUGAAGUGGACUGAGCCAACAAGGCAGGGAUCAAUAUCCAGCAGCUAUAAGGAGAAGUGGGGAUGCCAAGGCUGAGACUAGGACUGGGCCUGAGAACAGUAGUAUGAACUCUGCCACUUCUCACUCAAACUAUCGUCUAGCUUUUCUCUUUUUCCUGGAUCUUCUUUGUGCCUAAUCGAUAUGUUAUUUGUAAGCAUGAAAUCUGACUUUAUGAACUCUGUGAUAAUGUACAAUGUUUUCAAGUUGUUUCACUAAAGGAGUAAUUAUAAAGUCUUAAUUGCUUAUCUUUUAUAUCAAAGCAUUGAAAUAACAUUUAAAUAGAUCAAAGUGUUUAGAGAAAGAUGCAAAUUGGCUUUAUCACAAGAAUGUGGGAGAAUCUGGACUUUGACUUGGCAUAUAAGUUGGGUUGCCUGUCCAGUACCACCUUAACUCCUGAAAAAUAGGGGCUCCUGCUCAAACUGAGGCUGUACCUAUCACAAACACCAAUGAAUGUGGUAAAGAACACAUAAUACUUUUGGCCACAACUAGUCAGUGCUGGUUCAUUGUUACCCAUAACUCAGCAUUUGCUCCUGUGGUUAACACCACUCAGGCCCCAAAGAAAUGCUUCAGUACAUUUCUUGGUCUGUGUGCUCAAAGUACAAAGUAACUGUUUCAAUAAUACUGUAAGGUUUAUGGGUUAUGCUGCUGUUGAUAUUGGACACAAAUGGCUUUGAAGUGCAAGAGAACUGGAGCAGUGAAAGUGCGUAGUUAAGUGAAAAGAUAAAUUAUUUGACUUGUCAAAUCUCUACUCUCAGAUAGCAUGCAUACAAUGAAUUCUUGUGCAACGAAGUAUAAUUUCUCUAUAAUGCUGAGUGUCUAUUUUUUUGCUCUUUGAUUUCAUGUCUUCAGAGUUUCUCACAAAUUAGUAUGGAAUCCCAACAAUUGCAAAUGGCAGCUGAGGAAUAUUUUAUAAUAUCAAAUAAUUCACAUCACUUAAAUUUUCAUAUGUGUAGGUCUAUACAUAACUUUUGUAGUGCAUAACACAAAUUUUUACUUUGACAAUUAGAUGGAUAUGGUAUAAGAUAAUUGUGAAUGAUUUCAUGUAAAAAAUGUUUGAUAAGAUUUAUUUUCAAAAAGUAAAAUAAAAGUUGAUAUUCAC